rnacentral:rRNA from 1 species
UACGUAGGGGGCAAGCGUUGUCCGGAUUUAUUGGGCGUAAAGAGCGUGUAGGCGGCCCGGUAAGUCCGCUGUAAAAGUCAAAGGCUCAACCUUUGAAUGUCAGUGGAUACUGCCGGGCUAGAGUCCGGAAGAGGCGAGUGGAACUCCGAGUGUAGAGGUGAAAUUCGUAGAUAUUCGGAGGAACACCAGUGGCGAAGGCGGCUCACUGGUCCGGUACUGACGCUGAGGUGGCG